rnacentral:lncRNA from 1 species
UAAAGACUGUCAUUUGAAUGAAAGCCAUGUACAAUUGCAUCAAUCUAUUAGAAGCUUAAUCCAUACAAAAUUUUUUCUUUAAAAUAACUUAAAUGAACAAAAUUUCUUGCAUCUCUCUUAGAGUGGCUCCAAAGAACUUUCCCAUCUGAUUUGUUGUAAUAUACUGAUGAUGUCUCCAUUACACAUUUUGAUUUUAGUACAUGAUACAAUUUUGGAAUUGAUUUCUUAUAACAAAAUUUCUAAUUAUUACACAUUUUGGUAUGGAAAUCACUUGUACGUGUUCGGUUUAUUUUCAUGUCUCAGAAGUAGUCUAAUUAGGAUCUUUGGGGCUGGACAGGUAUGGAGCCAAGGUACUGGUGAUCAUCAUGAUUAAAAACACUAAUUUUUAUAUGAAUCAUGUUUAAUUAUCCCUAUUUGGUAUGACCUUCUCUUUUUCUGCAGCAACCUCUGCCAACUUUUUCUGUUCCUUGGCGCAAUCUCCAUUGUGGCGGUGCUCUGACAUUUGUUUUUUUUAUCAGCGUACCUCAAAGAACAGGCACCAAAAAUAUACCAGCUCUGUGGGUUUCUCAAAAUUCAUUUCUGGCAGCUCCUUUCUGUGUCACUUAUGCCUGCCUCCUGCAAUUUAUUUAUUGUAAUAAUAGCUUAGGAACUCAAUUUGAGUUUAAUAGCUUAGUGUUGACAUUUUCUUCUGUUGUGGUAAAGUGAUUAUCUAGCUAUUAUGAUCAGUUAAUAUCAAUAUGAAUUUAACUGGAAUCCUAAAUACUAUUUUUAUUAUCAUGAAAUCAUGUAGAAAUCUAGUCUAUGUUUUCAAUUAUAACAUCAAAAAAGCGAACAUAGUAACACAAAUUUUGGUUAAAGCCGGUAAUAUAAUUACCGCACUUUAUUCUUUAUGCAACCAGAAUCAUGCAUGCUUCAAAAAUUUCUAAAUAGCCAUAUAUAAAUGCAUUUAGCUUCAACAUACCACAAGGUGAAAGGAAAGUAACAACAUAUACAGUAUAUGUAUAUAGAUUUAUAUGCAUUUUACUUACUGAGCAACAGGGAGAUGCAUGGAUUCGACAGAUGAUUAUAAAAUAAUCUGUCAACGUAACAUUAACCAUAUUACAGAAAUAUUAGAUAUGUUAAGAUCAAAAUCGGGUUACCGGCCUCUCUAAAUACGUGGGGAAAAAGGCACAUACCCUUCAAGUCUUCAACUGUGCAUGAUGAUCGAUCAUGAUGAUAUGCAGCACCUCCACAGGACAGAAGGACAAAAAGGAUGCUAUGAAGGAUGAGAAAAACCGAAAUAGAUUCAUGUAGCCAAGUGGGGAGGUGAAAUUGAGAGGAUAGAUCAUUAUAACAUCUAUUAAAACAAUAUAACAAAAACAUGAUUAUAAAAUGGAUGAGGCUUUUGAAUUAGAAUUAACAAGC